UACAGAGGUGGCAAGCGUUGUUCGGAAUUACUGGGCGUAAAGGGCGCGUAGGCGGCCAUCUAAGUCAGACGUGAAAUCCCCCGGCUUAACCUGGGAACUGCGUCCGAUACUGGACGGCUCGAGUUUGGGAGAGGGAUGCAGAAUUCCAGGUGUAGCGGUGAAAUGCGUAGAUAUCUGGAGGAAUACCGGUGGCGAAGGCGGCAUCCUGGACUAAUACUGACGCUGAGGCGCGAAAGCUAGGGGAGCAAACGGG
rnacentral:rRNA from 1 species